UGCAGAAUGAAGGCCAAACAUUAAAUAUCAGAGGCAGUUACCCUCUAAAGUGUCAGCUCGGUACAAUUAUUUGUCUUUCUAGUAUAUACAUAUAUCAUAUAUCUGAGGACCUCAAAGCUGCAGACACACUCUGAGAUUACAGGGUGAAUAACCCGCCAACAACAUGUGUUCCCGCUUAACUCUGACAGGGGCGGCUCAGAUGUACCGAGUCCUAUAGGCUGUAAUACUACACACACUUUGCUCUGUUUGACUCUAGCUGAUCUGUCAGGUUGAAUAUCUGCCACAGCUCCCUGCUAUCAUCUUCAUCACAAGAAACAAGAUUUCUUCCAGCACCAGUGUCAUCUUGACCAAAGAGGAAACCGACAAUGUCCAGGAUCAUGAAAGUGUUUCUGCUCCUGGCUGUCAUGGUCUGCAUCUCUAAAGCCCAGCAACCAGCACAGUCCUGUAUGUGUCAGCGUGUGAGGAAUGCUAUUGGCCUGACAUCUGAGAUACAGGACAUCAAGAUCAAUGAACCAAACCCCUCCUGUGACAACUCAAAUCUUUAAUCAAGCGUCACCAAAUACACCGGCCGUCACUACUGCCUGAACCCCAAUUUGAAGGAUAUGCAAAAACUCAUGGCUCGACUGAAACUCUUAACCACAGAAGGACCAACCAGCCCAUAGCCUACUGACAAAAGAAUCUGUUGGAUUAGCAUGAAAAAAAAUAUGUUCAUCAGGUACACAUAUUAAAAUCACGUUUACUGAAAAUGAUUUAUUCAUGUUCAAUGCACUGGAUACUUAUUUGUUAAACAAACUUGACUGUUUCAUGUCAGCUUCAAGAUCUUUCAUUGUUCAUAUGUCCAUUGUAUUAAAUGACUAUCUGUUGAACUAG